rnacentral:rRNA from 1 species
UGGUGGACGGGUGAGUAACGCGUAGGUAUCUAUCCUUAGGUGGGGGACAACUGUGGGAAACUACAGCUAAUACCGCAUGAUAACCGAGGUUUAAAGCUUGCAAGAGCGCCCGGGGAGGAGCCUGCGUACGAUUAGCUAGUUGGUGGGGUAAAGGCCUACCAAGGCGGUGACGCGUAGCUGGCGUGAGAGCGUGGCCAGCCACACUGGGACUGAGACACGGCCCAG